AUUGAACGCUGGCGGCAUGCCUUACACAUGCAAGUCGAACGGUAACAGGUCUUCGGAUGCUGACGAGUGGCGAACGGGUGAGUAAUACAUCGGAACGUGCCUAGUAGUGGGGGAUAACUACUCGAAAGAGUGGCUAAUACCGCAUGAGAUCUACGGAUGAAAGCAGGGGAUUGCAAGACCUUGUGCUACUAGAGCGGCCGAUGGCAGAUUAGGUAGUUGGUGGGAUAAAAGCUUACCAAGCCGACGAUCUGUAGCUGGUCUGAGAGGACGAACAGCCACACUGUGACUGAGACACGGCCCAGACUCCUACGGGAGGCAGCAGUGGGGAAUUUUGGACAAUGGGCGAAAGCCUGAUCCAGCAAUGCCGCGUGCAGGAUGAAGGCCUUCGGGUUGUAAACUGCUUUUGUACGGAACGAAAAGCCCUGGGUUAAUACCCUGGGGUCAUGACGGUACCGUAAGAAUAAGCACCGGCUAACUACGUGCCAGCCGCCGCGGUAA
rnacentral:rRNA from 1 species